AGAUUUUUUUAAAAAUGUCACUUAAACCCCUUGUGUUCUUGGUGCCUCAUUUCAUACUUACUUUUAUAGUUUUCAUACUUUUCUGUUCAGGGCACAAUUUAAGAUUUGAUAUACCUUAAACUGUGGUUCGGACGGACGAAUGUUGAUUAUUGACAUUACCUCUCAUCAUUCUCAAGCUAUUAAAAUUCCAUGGUACCUUGUACCGUUGAUUAUAGAAUAUACCACAGCUUUAGAUACUAGUAUUUAAUAUAAAAAGCCAAUAAACAGAUAGCAAUGUUGUAAUACAUGAUGCAAUGUUAAUAUUUAGCGACCACCCGUUAUGUAGCGCUAUAGUGUAAUUUGGAGGCGAGGUGGUAGUACCAUUAUCAUAGAUGUUUGGUCAUAAUUGGAUGGUGUGGAGGGGUAGCUUAUUGUGUGGUGUCGUUCUAAGAAUAGAAUAAUAAUAAUGGUGAUAAACUAAUAAAUCCACUGGGAGCUCUUGCAAUAAGCAGAUUUUGGUAAAAUUUGAUAAAAACAUUUCGUAUUUUCAUCCGUUUUUUCUUGCAGCACACUAUAGCCUAUCACGCAACAAUAUUAUCUACAACCGUGCUUAGAAUCAAAAUCAUUGGAAACACCUAAUAAUAUUAUUUUAUCUCAUUAAUCUUUUACCGUACAACAAUCCACAGCCCACAUUUUCUGAUUCUUAUAUUCUGUAGAGUGUAGACCACGUUUUAAGAUCCAAAGAUAUAAACAUUUAUAUGCAGAGUAAUCAAUCUAUUGUAAGACAGUCGUUAUCUCGGAAAGUAUUAACUUUUAUUGGAAUUCAG